rnacentral:rRNA from 1 species
CGUUCCCAUCCCGAACACGACCGUUAAGCCCUCCAGCGCCGAUGGUACUUGGACCGCAGGGUCCUGGAAGAGUAGGACGUCGCCAGGC